UAACUGUAGUGCAUCUAUUCUGUAGAGUGGGCCCACUUUCUGUUAAUGAGUUAACAGCUUUCCCAAGUGCAAAAGUACACAAGGCUUGCUGAAUCAGAGCUACCUGAUGGAUCAAAGAAUAGAUAUAGCUGAAGCUGCUCUUGGUUGGGUGAUUUCUACCAGCAAUGCAAACCGGUCUGCAACAAUAGAUGCAGAUCCUAAGGAGAGAACCACCCCCAUCACAUAUCAAAAAGUCCUCAGCUGAAAUGAAGAGUAAUUGGGGAAAUAAGCAAGAAUGCUGCUUUCUUGAACCUCGUACCAGCACAAGGGUGAAGGAGAUAAACACAAAGAACAAUCAACUCCUACUAAACCACAUAUCCAGAGACAUAGAG